rnacentral:rRNA from 1 species
AGUGAACGCUGGCGGUAGGCCUAACACAUGCAAGUCGAACGGCAGCACAGUAAGAGCUUGCUCUUACGGGUGGCGAGUGGCGGACGGGUGAGGAAUACAUCGGAAUCUACUUUUUCGUGGGGGAUAACGUAGGGAAACUUACGCUAAUACCGCAUACGACCUACGGGUGAAAGCAGGGGAUCUUCGGACCUUGCGCGAGUGAAUGAGCCGAUGUCGGAUUAGCUAGUUGGCGGGGUAAAGGCCCACCAAGGCGACGAUCCGUAGCUGGUCUGAGAGGAUGAUCAGCCACACUGGAACUGAGACACGGUCCAGACUCCUACGGGAGGCAGCAGUGGGGACUAUUGGACAAUGGGCGAAAGCCUGAUCCAGCCAUACCGCGUGGGUGCAGAAGGCCUUCGGGUUGUAAAGCCAUUUUGUUGGGAAAGAAAAGCAGCAGGUUAAUACCCCGCUGUUCUGACGGUACCAAAAGAAUAAGCACCGGCUAACUUCGUG